CACUCCUGCGGGAGGCAGCAGUGGGGAAUUUUGGACAAUGGGCGAAAGCCUGAUCCAGCAAUGCCGCGUGAGUGAAGAGGGCCUUCGGGUUGUAAAGCUCUUUUGUCAGGGAAGAAACGGUGAAAGCUAAUAUCUUUUGCUAAUGACGGUACCUGAAGAAUAAGCACCGGCUAACUACGUGCCAGCAGCCGCGGUAAUACGUAGGGUGCAAGCGUUAAUCGGAAUUACUGGGCGUAAAGCGUGCGCAGGCGGUUUUGUAAGUCUGAUGUGAAAUCCCCGGGCUCAACCUGGGAAUUGCAUUGGAGACUGCAAGGCUAGAAUCUGGCAGAGGGGGGUAGAAUUCCACGUGUAGCAGUGAAAUGCGUAGAUAUGUGGAGGAACACCGAUGGCGAAGGCAGCCCCCUGGGUCAAGAUUGACGCUCAUGCACGAAAGCGUGGGGAGCAAACAGGAUUAGAAACCCUAGUAGUCCCAUGA
rnacentral:rRNA from 1 species